rnacentral:misc_RNA from 1 species
AGCAGCCGCGGUAAUUCCAGCUCCAAUAGCGUAUAUUAAAGUUGUUGCAGUUAAAAAGCUCGUAGUUGAAUUUCGGGAUCAAUACGUCGGUCGUGCUUAGGUACGUACUGGCGUAAUUGAUUUCUCCCUUCUGACGAACCAUGAUGUCAUUAACUUGGUGUCAUGGGAAAUCAGGACUGUUACUUUGAAAAAUUAGAGUGUUUAAAGCAGGCUCACGCUUGAAUACAUUAGCAUGGAAUAAUGAAAUAGGACGUUCGAUCCUAUUUUGUUGGUUUUUAGGAUCAACGUAAUGAUUAAUAGGGAUAGUUGGGGGCAUUAGUAUUCAAUUGUCAGAGGUGAAAUUCUUGGAUUUAUUGAAGACUAACUACUGCGAAAGCAUUUGCCAAGGAUGUUUUCAUUAAUCAAGAACGAAAGUUAGGGGAUCGAAGACGAUCAGAUACCGUCGUAGUCUUAACCAUAAACUAUGCCGACUAGGGAUCGGAUGAUGUUAAUUUUUUAAUGACUCAUUCGGCGCCUUAAC